AUUGAACGCUGGCGGCAUGCCUUACACAUGCAAGUCGAACGGCAGCACGGGAGCAAUCCUGGUGGCGAGUGGCGAACGGGUGAGUAAUAUAUCGGAACGUGCCCGGUCGUGGGGGAUAACGUAGCGAAAGCUACGCUAAUACCGCAUACGAUCUACGGAUGAAAGCGGGGGAUCGCAAGACCUCGCGCGAUUGGAGCGGCCGAUAUCAGAUUAGGUAGUUGGUGAGGUAAAGGCUCACCAAGCCGACGAUCUGUAGCUGGUCUGAGAGGACGACCAGCCACACUGGGACUGAGACACGGCCCAGACUCCUACGGGAGGCAGCAGUGGGGAAUAUUGGACAAUGGGCGAAAGCCUGAUCCAGCAAUAGCCGCGUGAGUGAUGAAGGCCUUAGGGUUG
rnacentral:rRNA from 1 species